ensembl:lncRNA
AAGUAGAAGAGGAAUUGAUCAGAAGGAUAUUGGGUGUCUCACAAGUGGGAAGGUAGGGGAAGCCUGCUCAGAGGUGGGCAGGAACUGAGAGAGAUGAAGCAAUGAGAAAACUCAGCUGAGGUCCUGCCAUAUUUCCAGCAUAGUAUUGGAGCGAAAGCACAGAGUCAACCUACGGAAUGCAAAUAAGAAAUAAAGACAAAAUGAAUGUGGCAGAGAUCCUUGGGCAAUUGUGUAAUACCUGAAUCUGGGGCCCAAAGAAGGGUGGGCUCUGGUCUAUCUGAUCGAAUGAGACUGGCCAGGCAAGUUACAUGAUUCCCAUUUAUGCUUGGGCUGAAAUAUGCUGAUGCUGAAGCUGAAACUCCAAUUUUUUGGUCACCUGAUGCGAACAGCUGACUCAUUGGAAAAGACCCAGAUGCUAGGAAAGAUUGAAGGCAGAAGAAGAGAGCAACAGAGGAAAAUAGGGAGACAGAGGAUGAGAUGGUUGGAUGGCAUCACCGAUUCAAUGGACAUGAACUUGGGCAAACUCUGGGAGAUGGUGAAGGACAGGGACGCCUGGCGUGCUGUAGUCCAUGGGCUUCCAAAGAGCUGGACAUGACGAGGAGACUCAACAACAACAUACUUGCCAAAAAAAAAAAAAUUUUUUUAUUUAGUGGUUUGGAGAUGGCAGAGGGGGCUUGUAAAAAGUCAGAUCUACAAAUGUAACAUGUCUUGACAGGCCAAUAAAUUGAGAACAGUAAAGGUGUGGGACAUUAGCCCAAGCUCUGUGACCAGCCUCAUAUUCCUGUUAUGGAUCAACCACCCAGAUGCCAGAUGCUAGUGUAAUGGGGGAGGGGUGUCCUAACAAGCAGGGUGAACCAGGAAGCAUCAUGCUGAGAUGGAGAAUGCCUAAGAUGAAAGCCUGAAAUGAUGAGCCACUACAUGGAGAAUAAAUGUCCCAAAGAGCCAUCUAGAAAGAAAACCAUUGCAGACAUAAGAUGAUUCUUGUUAAGACUUGGGGCCAAGUACCAGUGUUUGGGUUUCAUCGCAUCUGGCUGGCUGCUUGUGAAUGGUGUACCAACUGCUGUAAGACUGGCUUCCUUCCCCAGCCCUGCUCAAUGGCCAAGAGAACUUUACCAAUGUAUGGGCACCUAAUGUUGACACUGAUUUGCAUAAUGGUGCAAUAAAAGACAUUCUUCAAGUCCUUUUUGUGUGUAACCCAUCAAUAAAGGGAAAUCAGAGCUUGUGGCAACUUGGAGAUGGAGGCAGCCUGUCAGCAGAGAUUGUACCUAUGACCUUGACACAGACUCAUGCAAGAGAAGGAAGCUGUCAGGAGGGUUCUCACGCGGAAUCACCCUCUGACCUCUGACACUCCAGUUAUGCCCUGAACCCUUGAUGCGGAGCUGUCAGUUCUUUCCCCAUCAGGGCUGGAUCCUACUGCCCAUGUUCUGACCAGGAUCCUAUUCCAUCCUAAGUCCAGCAC